rnacentral:rRNA from 2 species
GGGGUGCUAUACAUGCAAGUCGAACGAACUCUGGGUAUUGAUUGGUGCUUGCAUCAUGAUUUACAUUUGAGUGAGUGGCGAACUGGUGAGUAACACGUGGGAAACCUGCCCAGAAGCGGGGGAUAACACCUGGAAACAGAUGCUAAUACCGCAUAACAACUUGGACCGCAUGGUCCGAGUUUGAAAGAUGGCUUCGGCUAUCACUUUUGGAUGGUCCCGCGGCGUAUUAGCUAGAUGGUGGGGUAACGGCUCACCAUGGCAAUGAUACGUAGCCGACCUGAGAGGGUAAUCGGCCACAUUGGGACUGAGACACGGCCCAAACUCCUACGGGAGGCAGCAGUAGGGAAUCUUCCACAAUGGACGAAAGUCUGAUGGAGCAACGCCGCGUGAGUGAAGAAGGGUUUCGGCUCGUAAAACUCUGUUGUUAAAGAAGAACAUAUCUGAGAGUAACUGUUCAGGUAUUGACGGUAUUUAACCAGAAAGCCACGGCUAACUACGUGCCAGCAGCCGCGGUAAUACGUAGGUGGCAAGCGUUGUCCGGAUUUAUUGGGCGUAAAGCGAGCGCAGGCGGUUUUUUAAGUCUGAUGUGAAAGCCUUCGGCUCAACCGAAGAAGUGCAUCGGAAACUGGGAAACUUGAGUGCAGAAGAGGACAGUGGAACUCCAUGGUUA